GAUUCUCGCUGUAAAUAUCCCAUUCUCUUCUCUGCACUUCCAGGCUCCAGCACCAAAAAAAAAAAAGUUCAAAACCUUCAAAAAAACCCUAUCAACUAAAGCUACCAACCAACCUCCCAUGGCCUCAUCUACCCAACCAACGCCUAACCGCCACCACUCUAACCUCUUCCACUCCGCCACCACUGCUCUUAUCUCUCUUAUCUCCACCACUAAAACGUCACCGUUUUCAACAAUCCCGCUAUCUCCUUCUAAAAUUUGCAUUCCUUUCCAAUUUGCUGACUCCUCUUAUCCACUCACCCAAGCCACCGGCUCCCCCUUCGACUCUACUCAGCCAGACUCGGUCUCUUCAAAAUCGGCCGCCGUUAAGGGCUUGUCCUCUGCUGAGUCGAACUCGGGCUUCCCAUCAACUGUCAGGAUUGCUGGCCUCAAAUCAAAUGGCAAGAGUGGUGGGCCCGCUUUCGUGGGUCAGGUUUUCAGCAUGUGCGACCUUUCAGGGACUGGGCUCAUGGCUGUCUCAACUCAUUUUGAUAUUCCUUUCAUUUCAAAAAGAACACCUGAAUGGCUCAAGAAGAUAUUUGCAACAGUCACCAAGAGUGAGAGGAAUGGUCCUGUGUUCCGUUUCUUCAUUGAUUUAGGUGAUGCAGGUAUGUUUUGAGUUUUGACAUCAUCUCUUAAUUUUAAAUUAUCUCAUUCUUUUCUUAAUGAUUCUUCUUGUAAUUGCUAUUCUUCAGUCUGGUCAAGUUUCUUUCCAGCAAAGGAAAAACUUACAUUCUGAUUUGAUUUAUGAUUUUAGUUACAUAUGUUAAACGGCUAAAUAUUCCAAGUGGUGUGGUGGGUGCUUGUCGUCUUGAUUUGGCAUAUGAACAUUUCAAGGUAUUGUGAACUUGAAUGAGCUCUUAUUUUUUACGUUAUAUGGCAUGUGUUGUGAGGUUGAAAUAUUGAACUCCUAUUUUACUAGUUCUUUUUUCUCUGUUUUCUUGUACUCUAUUCUGUAUGAGGUAAAUGUGCUUUAUUUCUUCACAUACCAUGAUGAGUUCCUGAUGUUAGCAAAUAUCAUCCUUUUGCUUCAAAGCGCUUUCAAAGUUAAUUAAAAAGAGAAAAGAGAGAGGAGUAAGGUGUUAGGCAGUAUGCAGUUACUGCACCUGCUAAUGUUUGGAUACUGUGUGCUGUGUACCUACUAAACAGCUCAUUACAUUCUAAAUUGGUAUCUAUAAAAAAGGGGGCAUCCUAGUGCAUGAGGUUUGGUCAGGGGAGGGUCAUAUAUCGUACACAUCCUUUUCCUGCUUUUUUUUUUUUUUGGCUGUUUUCAUGCUUUAAACCUAUGACCUUUUAGUCACAAAGGAGCUAUCUUACAGUGGUGCUACUUUUCACUAUGGUUAUAUCCCACAUGCUCUUAGAAAUUUUGUCGUUAGUGUACAGCCCAUCUGUAGCAAUUUCUUGAUACAUAUUGAUGAAUGUGCAAACCAUCCAUUGUUGGGUAGUGAGAGAGAUAAUAUGGCUUUGAAGAGAGUGAAAUAGUGGAAUAUAAUCAUUGUUAGCUGAACAAAAUUGUAGGGUUGUGGUUUUGUGAUUUGUUUAACUUCUUUUCUGAAUAUCAGAUGCUAUCAAUGUUUUCAUAGCAGAACAAUGCAAAUGAUUUUAGCAUGUAUUAUCUUCAAAAUAUAUUCAUUUACAUUUUGUCUUGUGAAUUUCUAACUUUUGUCUGCCUAUCUGGGUCAAUGCCAACUGUUUUUUUUUUUGCUUUAAAUUCUGCAGGAAAAACCUCACCUGUUUCAGUUUGUUCCAAAUGAGAAACAGGUCAAGGCAGCAAACCAACUUCUCAAGACAAUCCCUCAAGAGUAAUGGGAGGAGGAAGGUUGAUGGGUUCCUGUUUUCACUGCUCAAAAUUUAGAUAUUGCGACAGCUACUGCAAAUGGGAUUAAAUGCGGCGACAUGAUGUGGUAGAUGACAACAUGACAGCAGAAGUGAUUGAAUAAAUGGGAGAUAGCAUGUUGGAGCCUCCAGAGGUUCAGGACAUGCUGGAUGAGAUGGGGCAUCCUGGAAUACCUUUGAGUGUCAUUUCCAAAGCUGCUGAAAUCCAGCUUCUCUAUGCUGUUGACAGAGUACUCCUGGGUAAUAGGUGGUUGAGAAAAGCAACUGGCAUCCAGCCCAAGUUUCCAUAUAUGAUCGACUCAUUUGAGAAAAGGUACAUCCUAUAGUUUUUUGAGCAUAUUUUAUUUGUUUUAAAUGUGUGGUACUGGUGUGUUAUAUCUCCAUUUCCCUACGCUUGAAAACCAUGGAUUUUCAUCAUAAAUGGAUUCAACAGGGAUGUGGAGAAUUAACUAAUCAAUGUGCCCUGGUCUAGAGAACAUUAAUACCUGCAUAUGAAGUUGAUUAGCAGAUCCUUCGUUUCAUCAUUGUAUUAUUUGGCAUGCUUAGAUAGAUAUGAAAGAAUUUUCUGGCAUUGGACCUACUUUAUGGGACUUAACUACAUCAUACUUUUUAUUUGCACCCUUUUCCUGUCUGAUAGGCCUGUUUUGUAGAUUAGAGUCAUUUAUAGCAGUGAAUUGUAGCUCUGGGUGCAUGUAAACCGGAUAUUCUAAGAUUUUACUAGAGCUGAAGUGCAUAAUUUCUUAUAUAUUAGGGAUGGAGUGUUUCUUAGAAUAGUUGCGUUAAAUGUCUUCUGGAUUAAGCUUUUUUUAUUUUAGGUGAGACAUUGGCUGCCUUGUUAGUUGGUACUUUGUAGUAGUUGGUAAAAUUGAUUGUGAGAUGCAAGGUGACCAUUUUUUAUGGCAUGGAGAAGGCUGUCUUUCAAGUUUAUGCAUGACACUGCAAUCAGGUGAUUGCUUCACUUUGUUGAUGCAGGAGUGCGUCUUCUUUUCAAAGAGCCUUCGAGUCAACUGGCUAUCUUGCAAACCCUAAAACAGGUGAUGGCACUUCUAAGUGCAAAUUAAAAGACAAUGCUCAAGCCAAUCAUGAACAGAAAACAGAUUUGCCAGAUCUGCGGCUCCCAUUUGGAGAUUGGUUUGGGCAUCCAUGGUUGAAACAAAAGUGGAAACCUGAAAAGCAAUCAGAAAUAAGAUCACAUGACCCAUCAAGUGAAUGCAGAAAGCAAAAGUUAGAGCCCAAUCCUUUUCUUCCAAAGAUUACAAUGGUUGGUAUCUCAACUGGAGAGGCAGGACAAAUGAGCAAAGCUAGUUUAAAGAAGACAAUGGAGGACCUAACAAGAGAAUUGGAGCAAACAGAUCGGGAAAAUGCCCCUGGCAGUAGCAAUAAUAUUAAUGAGUUAGAAAUUGAAUAUAGGGAUCCACUAUUUGUUGCAAAUGUGGGUGAUUACUAUUCUGGUAUGUCAAGGACAAGUUCACCACGAUGGGUCAGUGGAGGAAGCAACUGAAGUCUCCUCGAGAAAAGAAAGCUUCUCAGAAAUGUAAAGUUAAUAGUGUAAUGUUUAAUAGGUCAUAUAUUCUUGGCUAUGUCGCCAAUUUUUUGCGGUUCAGUUGAUGUGGAUGCAUAGUUGUGCAUUUACGUUAUGCUAUCUCACUAUUGUAAAAUGCAACUUAUUUUGUUAUAGAUCAUCUGUUAGCUGGGAUGGUGUUGUCGAUGUGACUUGGAUUUUUAUCAAAUAAUUACAGCCUAUAACCGAUAAAUU
rnacentral:misc_RNA from 1 species